GGGCGGUUAGCUCAGUCGGCAAGAGCGCUUCCCUUACAAGGAAGAGGCGGCAGGUUCAAAUCCUGCAUCGCCCA
rnacentral:tRNA from 1 species